UGAUAUUUAAAUAUUUGUCUUGUAAAGCAGUGCUUCGUGUGAUAACAAACAUCGCUCCGGAAGGUCUCGUUAUUGGUUCCUAACGUUUUUGCACUUGCAAAGCUUAUGAAUGUCAGUGAAGAUGAGAGUCAACUUUCUGCUAUAGCUAGGCAAGGUUCAGGUAGUGCUUGUCGGAGUUUGUUUGGUGGUUUCGUUAAGUGGAUUAUGGGAAAAGAGGAUGAUGGAAGUGAUAGUCUUGCAGUUCAACUAGUAGAUGAAAAACACUGGAAGAUCUCUUCAUCAUUAUUGUUGUGAGCAAGGAGUGUUUAGAGAAAGUUACUCAAACAAUAUCUUUUCUUGGUCAACCACGAGAAUCUCA